rnacentral:lncRNA from 1 species
CAUCUUUUUACUGGGCGAUGUUAGACUGAUGACCUCUGCCAUAACUUCUUAUGGCCCUUGAAUGGUGAAUUGUCAAGUAUCUGAGAAAUAUGCUGUAGGCCGCACUCUCAACUUGCUGAGGAAGUAGCCUUCAUGGUCUGCCAACUCGUUAUUGUGUCUCGUGGCCUCGCAGAGUCCGAUGCAGCAUGUGGGCUCUGCCUGCACCCAAUCUUAGCAAAUGGAGAAAAGAGCAAGAAUAUCUAUGACCGUGGUGGUCAGGUAAAACCUGACAGUGAGACUGCGUUGGCUACAGAAACAAACAGAGCCCUGCUCAGACCCUAAGAAACCCACAGCAGUAAACAGAAAAUGACUGCAAAGGAGCCUUCUGGGAGGGACUGACUCUCACCUGUGAUGGGCAGCUACGCCGGCACCAUCAACGGAGACGGAGAGACCCCUGAGACUUAUACAUGCCAGGACAGCGCUUCCACUGAGCCUCCCCCAAUCACUGAAAUGAGUCUUAUAAAGCACCGGAAGAGCAGGAGCGCCACGGGUGGGUCUUACGUCACAGACCCUAUGACAAGAAAAUGGGUUACGCAGCAUUUGCGCAUCCAUCUGUGAAGGUGGCUGGCGGUUAGGCUCCUCUACAACUUUCCCGAGUGUCAUCAAGUUUACCUAUGACGACUUGGGUGUGCUUGUGAACUUUCAGCUUUGAACAUGGGGGCUCCCAGGAAGGAGCAGAAGCGGACAUGGAAGGAGGAGAGAGGAAGGCGGA